rnacentral:rRNA from 1 species
UACGUAGGGUGCGAGCGUUAAUCGGAAUUACUGGGCGUAAAGCGUGCGCAGGCGGUUUUGUAAGUCAGACGUGAAAUCCCCGGGCUCAACCUGGGAACUGCAUUUGAGACUGCAAAGCUAGAGUGUGGCAGAGGGGGGUGGAAUUCCACGUGUAGCAGUGAAAUGCGUAGAGAUGUGGAGGAACACCAAUGGCGAAGGCAAUCCCCUGGGCCUGCACUGACGCUCAUGCACGAAAGCGUGGGGAGCAAACAGGAUUAGAACCACCGGUAGU